CGCGCGGGGCAGAGCCGCGGCGGGGCGGGAGAUCCGUGCGGCCGCCGCGAUGCCCGCACCGGAGGCCGGCAGCGGCCGGGAUCGGUCAUAAACACCUGUGUUUGAGCUGGUUCCAGAAUGAUGGGCAUGAGAACAGCUGCCAGGAGCAUGGAAAUCCUGUGCUGUGGGUAACUUCCAAGCCAGCGUUUUCAGGGAGCUGCCACAGGAGCUGCAUGUGGGGCCAUGGCGUUGCUGUUAGACACAGAUGUCAAAAGCUGAAGCGGUCUAACUUGAUGUGCCAAGCUGAGCCUGUUUCUCCUGCCUGUGCCCUGCACCCAGCAGCCGUGCUUGCCCGUGGUGCUGCACACACACAGCUGCUGCUGUGGCUCGUGGAACACCCCCCUCGUGUCGCAUGGGAUGGCUGCAGAAGCCCGUCUCUCUCCUGCAUCCUCUGAGACCAGAGUCUCGCUGCGUUUCUCCCUUCCCGAAAGCGAGAGCCUGCGGGCGUUGGCGGCGCCGCGGUCUGACAGGAGAGCGGGGAGCGGAGCCGUGCCGGGAUUAAGUCACUCUCACAAGGUCACGCGGUGAAUCGCUGCUGCUGCCAAGAAUAGCGCCCCGAGUCUCUUGGCUCUCUCAAGCCCACCCGCAGCACUCCAGCCUCCUUUCCUCGGGUUAUGAAGCUUUCUGCAGCAAGAUUUGAAGCAGCCAAAUUCCAGCUUAGAUCAAAGUCCCUAGGAUUCACUUGUGAUUUCCGGAUGGAGUAUGGCAAGAGCGUUGGUGGGAGCAGACAAUGCUUGUGCUGAUAGCAGAGGUUGAAGUGUUUCCUGUCAUGGAAAAGUUGAACAAGCCAGUUCCACAUCAGCUUUCUUUUCUGAGACUUCCAGCUGUAACUGAAGCCUCAGUUCCCGUGAUGAUGCUCCUGGGACAGAGCCCGAUGGCAUCUGCAGAGUGGGGCAUGGAGAACAAGGGACCCCGAGCCACAGAGAGGGACUGCAGCCCCUGUGCCCCUCUCCCCACAGAGAGACAGCAGAACAUCGUGGUGCCCUCAGAGCCAGCACAGCGCCGACAUCUCCAACAGGGGAUCAGCAAACGUAAAGGACAGGUACACUCCCUUCUGAGUGACAGCACUUCCCACAGCCUCGCUCUCCAGCCCCUGGAGCCUGCUGCAGCAGCCCUGGGAGCCUGGCCAUGGUGAGGGCUAUCCCUGCCUCUGUGCACAUGCCUCUGUGCACAUGUGUCUGCCUGAGCGCUGCCAUGUUUGGAGCUGUGUGGUGGCUGCUGUCAGAACCCAGGAAUGCAGCCUCAGGAACAGAACCCUGCACAGGCAAAUGUGGCAGAACCUGGGCAGUGUCUGCAGCAGCAGUUAGGAAUCCGGGACUGGGAGCUGACUGUACUUGCAUUCCCAGGAGGACAAAGCAGGGCCUCGAUUGCCAGGAAUAAUACCCAGAUUUGUGGUGCUGAGAAGGUGAAGCUGCAGCGUGAGCCCCCCUGGAAUCCUCGUUGUAGGAGAGAUGCACUGGGAGCAGCGUGGACAGGCAGGUGCCACUGCUGUCUUGGAAGGUUUCACAGCCCUGAGAUUUUGCUGCUCAUGACUUGAAGCAACCAGCAUCACCUCAGGCUAUAGGCAGAAAAAUUUCAUUGAACCACAGUGCCUCUCUGCUAGACAAACUGCAGAAAGAUAACUUGCUCCCAGAAUGCCAGGGUUGUCUGGCCACCUUCCAAACAAUCGCUGCAUUCCGUGCUUGAAUGCCUAUCAGUGAAUUUCCAGUACAAAAUGUGAAGAGAGACAACUAGAAAUCAACGUCUGGUGUUUCCUUUGCACCUCCCCAGAGGGGAGGGCUGUUGGCAUCAUAUAUUCAAUCCCUCAGCACCAGCAGAUACAGGUCAGUGACAAGACAGGUGAAAGAAUAAGGCCUGAGGUCAGUAGGUGCCCGGUGCAGCCACUGAAGCUGCCUGCUUCCAGGAGCUGAGGUUGCUGCUCUUGGGGAAACAAAACUCCUGCCUGAUGGUAAACAUCUUCAGUUGCCAUACAGAAGAACUUAAAAAGCCAACCAACAAUCACCUAGCCAAGUAGAAAAAUAUGUCAAAUCAAUUUAGGGUGGAAAAAUAUCAAAAAUCAAGAUGAGAUGGACAUGGCACGUCUCCUGCCUGGAAUUCCUGGGAAGGUCUGUUGGUGGCAUGCCUGGUCAUUAGUGCUGGUUGGACACAGGGCCAGGAGCGUGCUGUUCACCCAUCCCCAUCCUUCCUGUGGCUGGAGGAGAUGCAGGUGAAGCCUGGGUGGGGCAACUGCCAGCUGUUAGGAAAGAUCACUUACGGCCACAGGUCACUUCCCCAGCAAGGUGUACCUUGUUCCAGGAGUGUUAGAGCCCUCCCCAGUGGCGUGGGACCUCCAGGGGGUUGAGAAAACCCUUGGAGCAAAUAAGGUGAAUGGCACCAAACUUUCUGGGGAAUCCAUUUUGGUGAAUGUUGCCCAGCCAUAAUUCAGAGCCACUCUUUGCAGUGUGGGCAGGCAGAGCAGUGUUCAUGUCAGGAUGGUGCAGGUCCCUCUGCUGAAGCUGAAGCCCCUAACAUGGAGAAAGAGAGCCUCAGUUGCAGGGCUCAGCAGGCAGGGUCAGAUCCUGCCACAGUUUUGACUCACAACUAGAUGCACUCCGUGCUUUGCAAGUUGCAGAUCUUAAGCUUUUUGCAUUUCAGCUCUGCAAAUGCUCGUCAGUGGUUUAGCCACUUUUCAUCUGUUAAACUUCUUGGGUUUAUCCAUGCUCCAUCCAGAGUUCCCACCCAUUAAACUCUAUUUUUACUGCCUUUUCUCACUUUAAGGGGAGGAGGUCACUUCAGAGAGGCUGGUUCAGAGAACAGUGGUAGUAGCCAUGGAGUGCCCUAUCUAGUGAAGUCUCAAAUUAAAGAGAAGAAGGCUCUGAAAAGCACGAUAAAGUCUUUGAAAAUUAAGAUAAUACUAGUGCAGGCCCAAACCUGCUGCUAGUGUGAGAUUCAGAAGUGUUGCUGCUGAACAGCAGUUCCAUGCCAGGAACCUGCAGCAGCUGCUAUGGAUGCAGAUCCAUCCUUCAGCUGAUCCUACAGCAUGGGUUCUGGACUCCUCCAGUUGUUGGACUCCUUCACCUCUGCAUCACCAGGAUUUCUUCAGCACGGUCAUUAACAGCUCACACAUAGCUGCCACACCUUGCAGCACACGCCUCUGCAUUCCUCACUCUGCUCCAAGACAUGCUUUGUUCAUGGGCUCAGCUCUCAGAGCUCCCACUCGCCCUGUUAUUCACAUGGGAUCAGGUUAUUUGAAGUGCUGGCAAGUUGUGGUCAUGAUGGGUUUAGCCCCAGCCCUGUCCUUGAAAGAACAGAUCCUGUCACCUAACCAGUACUUUUGGGACGUAUUUUACAAUUUGUAUAAAGAAAAAAUGUACUGGAAAUACUUAUCUGUAGUGAGAAUCUUUGGACCUCAGUACACAUAGAAAUCCAGCAGUGUCCGUUGUUUGACGUGCUUUUGUCUGUUCUAUAAGCUGUGACCAGAGUUCAGCAGCUUUCUCCCAGCCUGUGCUCAGCUUUUAAAGCUUUUCCUGCCGUCUCUCACAUUUGCCAAGUCUCCAGUCCCCAGGGAUGCAGUGCCUGGGGGGAGCUCUGGUCGACAAGCCCCUCACCCUGGAGGGUGCCUGCACUCUGAACCUGGCACAGGCCAGAUGGAAAAUGGUCCCAUCUCCCCCUUUCUCAGGGAUGUUCUUACACAGCACAGCAAAUCAAAACCUCAGACCAGCACAACUCUUAUUGUUGCUUGUUCUGCAGUCUGGAGGGAAAAAAGGAGUCCCAGCUCCUAUUUUCCACAGUAGUGGUUGGCAGACCAGUGGCUGGUUUCUAGACUUGGCCAAGGGAAAGAUCUGAGUCCUUGCUUAAUAUUAAAAACCUUGGCUUAGGCUGAUUUCAUUUGCCAUUUUUUUUAUUCUACUUUCAAAUUUUAUUUCUUUAUUUUCAGUUUAAUCCUUUCUUUUUAAGGUUUACAUAGCAUCAUCUGCUUCUCUGAUAGCUCUGUCCUUUAGCUAGACUUAUGAGCUGCACUUUAAAAGUGGACACUGUGAUCAUCACAAAAAUCCCUCCUUCUGGUAUUUUUGCUAGCAUCAGUCCCCAGAACAUGGGCCUUAAUGAUGGGAACAUAUUCCCUACUGAUGUGCCAGACAAAAGUUCAUGGCUUUGUCUUGCUGAAAAUGAAGUCUUGAUUAUUCAUGCAGUUCCCAAUUAGUCAUUCCACACCCUUGAAUUAUUUCUGACAGAUGUGAAAUGCCUUGUGCUGAAUUCCUACUCCAAGGAACCUUCUGCAUGACUGGUUUAUCAGUGUAUGCAAGCAGACUCAUGAUUUACAGUGCUUCAUCAUCAUGGCAUGUGUAACACUGAACACGAUGACUAGGGAAACCAGACCCACCUAUUUUGGUCAUAGGUUCAGAGCCUCCCAAAUCUGCCAGCAGCUGCGCAAGGGGCGCUCACACAGGGCUGGUGUGGGCACGGGGAAAGCCAGCGUACACUGAGGAUCUCACGAACGGAUUGUCUGAGGGCCUAUGAACUCACUCUCAGGGGUGGUAUGGACACAAGUGCUAACCUGAAGGCCCGUUUCUGUCACUUGUCACUUUCUGGCUUUGUCUCUGCUGCCAGGAGUGCUCUUCCCGCCGGCUGUGUGCUGGGCUGAGCUGCGUGCCGGGCGUGGGUCCUGUCCCUGGGCGAGCCCUGGGGACGGAGCUGCCCAGCCGGGAGGGGAUGCCCAGCCUGUGCCCUGCCCUGCUGCUGGACAGCCCAGGCAGCCGUCCCUGCUGGCCCUGGAAGGGCUGACCUGCUCUCACUGCUGCGUUUCAGCAGCAUUCCUGAGCACGUGGCCAGGCCUGGCUCCAUAUGGCGUUAAAGGCAUUACCUAUGCAAUGGGAGAUUUUAGACUGGGAUUCCACAUUUUUCUCCUGCAGAAGUUUCUGUCACUGCAAAACAAAAUAAUAGCACCCAAAGCCAUGUUAAAUCAUUGUAGUGAUUCCAAAAUCCAUGGUUCCUCUGGCAAUUAAAAAAGCUCCAAGCUCACUCCAGGUCUUACAACUGUGAAUUUUGUAUUUGCAGUGGUGAAACUCCCCUCUUCUUGUUAUCCACAAUAACAAUAACAAUGUGUUAUUGUUCCAUAAUGAAUCAUUUUUGUGUCAUGUUUGACUUGGUUUGGGGAUUUAAAUUGCAUGCCUCACUGAAGGGAAUCUGUAAUUGAGAUACAAAUCUGAGCACCUGUGAAAGACUUCAAGUUUUGUGUACAUGCCUAAGUAUAAAUAUUUAAAUGUAUGUUUUACUACUUUAAAGGCAUCUACACAGGAUGUCAGUGGAGGUUGAUCUGUCAUCACUCUGUCUUGUCAGCAGAGCCACUGGAUUCUGACAGCUGAACAGAGGCCAUUAAUUAAAACUGCCAGGUUUUGUCAGGCCCUUGACAUGCUCCCUAGAUAAUUCAGUCUUAUGCAUUUCAAGCGUUUGCAGCAGGAACAAGACAAAAUCUUUCAAUUUCCCUGCUCCAUUCUAUGCCUCUCUUUUAUUCCUGCAGCAAUAGCCCUUUGCAUUUUGAAGCGAGGGUGUUGGUGUAACUUGGUUCUGCAUUGAGAAGUGCGAGGGUUUGUGAUGACUCCUCAGAGGGAAGCUCUGCAAAGGUUGUGGCAGUGACUCCCCACCCUCAGGAAGGUUACAGCGGAUAAUGCCACAAGUUUUGCAAGAAUAAAGAGCUUUUUCUUACUGUUCUAAGAAGGUUUUUUGCUAGAAUAAGCAAACAAGAAUUGGACCUGACUUCAGGUCCCUCUGCUCCCACAGCUAUCCUCACUGGAGCUGCAACUGCCCCUGGGGAGAUAUGGCUCUCAGCCAGUCAUCCUUAAAGGAGAAGUGUUAGUUUUGCAUGUAACUGUGACCUAUUUUUAAAUUUUUGCUAUAUAUACGAAUUUACUCUUUAUAACAGAUCCAUGGACCCUUUGGAGUGCAUAUGAUGGAGAGCCAGUGGUCAGCCCUUAGAGUCAUGGUUAGAAAACACCAUCUUUGUUUGUUUUACAUGUUUAUAAUUUUCUCUGGCUAUAUUAUCAUUUGUGAAUUUCCCCAGUAGCUUUCAAAGUAAUGUUGGUUUGUCUUGAUAGUAACACUGCUAAAAAGCGCUUAAGAUGUCAAAUACAAGAGCAGUUGUUUGCUUCUUCUGGCUACUACAACCUACCAGAUAUGUAAAUCAUGACCCAUAUUGCUACAGCUUCUGAAAUCAAAGUAAAGCCAAAUAAUGCAUAGCCCAGCAUAGACAUAUUCCCUAAUGACACAGAAGUGUGGUGCUCCAACCCCCCAUUUUAUGGGAGAAAAGGAGCAUGUAUGAUGAGAGGUCAGUGCCAACUUCUCACUUCCUCAGCAGUGACUGCAGUUUGUGUGGGACAGUCUGCUCCUUCCAGGCGUUGCUCAGAGGUGGAUCCUGUUCAGAAACCCCUUCUCUGCCCCCGUGGAACAGAGCGCCAUGGCACCUUCACAUGGAACCAUGCUCAACUGGAAUGCCACAGAUUUGCCUCUGGGGCCAACCUGAGCUGCAGCAGAGCAUGGAGAAGACAGUUUCAGAAGCUGAGAUGUGUCUGCGUACCCUUCACAGAAGCAGCACUUCAGAAACAGUUCAUGGUACAGAAGAGAUGGCAUAUUUCUUUUAACAAUGGGGUGUUUAAGGCCUGGUUCUGCGAAGUACACUGGAAGAAAACAGGCUCCAAAACCUGACCUCUGAAAAUGGUUUGAAUUUGCAAACCCGAUACACACUGAGAUCACUUCUUCAGCAUUAAUGAAGGACAAGUUGUGCCUUUUAAUCAUGUUUGUAAUGGAAAUGCUCAUUUAUAAAAUAAUAAUAACAAUACAAAAUGCAGGUCCUCAUAAACAACUGUUAUUUGUCUACCCCAAACGCUUUUAGUUGUGCUUAGCAAGCUCUCUGUUUCUGAUGAUUCUAUUUUUAGUGGAUUUCAGCCGAACUACUCAUAUAAGAUUUAAAACAAAAUUAACGGCAGAAAAGCAGAGAUUUACAUGAAGAGAAUUUAGGUUUAUAUUCAACACGUCAUUUUAGUGUCUGACAGCAGGACUAUUUCAGUAGCUGCAGUCACAGACGUUGAUAGUAGCUGUACAGUUGGAUGAGAAAAGCAAGAAUUAGCCACAGAAGUACUAUUUUUUGCUAUGUAUUUUGCAUACAGAUUCCAUGUGGAGACAGGGAAUCCAUCAAUCCACUAUCUGCUACAAACCCCACAUUUCUGCUUUUGUAGCAAAGUUAGAGCUAAUCCAGACUGUAAGUUUUCUGAAGCAUGUUUAUGCAGAAAAGGCCAGGGAACCAGUUUUGGCUGACUGCUGUCUCAUGUCAUACAUGAUGUGGCAGCAAUAGAGCUGUCAAAAAUUGCUCAGAACUUAAAUAUGUACAUGUUUCCCCACACCUUUAUUUAUCUAGCUCUGAUCUCUGCUUUUGAAUUCCUGCUUAGCAGGAAAAGGGGAAAGAGGGCAUUGCGCUUCUGGAAGUGAAAUGUGAGGGCUGCAGGUGCACAUUCCCCCUGGAACCUGAGCAUCCCACGGACCCAAGCAGUGGCUCCUUAGCACAGAUACCACCACUCCCAACAACCAGGACUCCCUGGGAGCUACAUUUAAAUAGGCCAUCGGAACAUCAUUAUUGUGGGGUUGCAAUGGCUUUAAUGUCUACUCUGUAGACAAGUAUUACAUAAGUCCUUUAGGAACUCAGUCCUGAAAAUGGAUUUAUGAGUACAGAUCAAAUUGUGCCACAUAGUACUUAUUUAAAAUAUCUGACAAGCUCUCUGAAGUUUGUCUAUGUUCCCUUUUUUUGCUUAGACAACAUAUUAAAAACAAAUGCCCUGCCAUUAUUCAUGCUUUUAACACUGAGAUGUAAUUGAUAAAGCUGGUGAAAAGUCUGAAGAAUGGUUUAUGUACAAAGCAAAGUGAUUACUUACUGUUCAAAGCUGAAGUUUUCAAGAAAAUGAGCAACCUAGAUUCUAGGAAAUCCAGCCAUGAAUUAUUGAAAAGUCUAUUAAAAUAAAACCAUGCCAAACAGAAAUAUUUCAGACACACCAAGUCUAUCAAAGAGAUGUGGAUUUUCUCCAAUAUUGAUAUCACAAUUUACUUAAUAUGAGUUUGAAAUAAAUGAGAGAGUAUGCUGCUGAACGCCACAUGAGCUCUCUGAAACCGUUCACAUUUCUGUCUUUACUAGGUUAAAUGAAACCUGAUCUGGAUUCCACUUGAUCAUAAGACUGGAAUGCUGAAAAUGCUGUAAUCUAUUUAUACAUCAAAUUGAAGAAACAUUGCAUGUCUUUAAAUUUCCCUGCAUUCCAGUGUAUUAGCUAAACAGCAACAGUUUACAAACUGUUUCACAUUCAAACUGAGACAAAGACAGACCAAUGCAACUUAUUUAUCCUAAAGCCAGGAUUGAUUUCCUGGCUUUAAAACUGUGGCCCAAACCCAGGUCUGCUCUGUGCCUUCCCUAAAAGCCUUGCAGCAGUAAUUCAUCAUUAGUGCCAAAACAUGGUGGUUGCCUUAUGAUGACUUCCAAAUCCACAGUUCAUUUUUAGCAUCAAGAACAAUCCCAAACUACAAUCCCAAACCAGAUUUGCAGCUCAGAUUUUGUCCAUACUUCUCUUCCCUCUGCCUCUGAACCACAAAUGGUUCAAAAUACAGCGGACAGCAAGGCUGAGAACAACUGUGGUAAAUAACAGCAGCCAAAUCCCACAGAUGAAAUCCAUACAGGGGCUUAUUCAGCCCAUGAGGUAUUGGCAGUAACCCAUCCACCAAGAGAACACCUCAGGCCCCCCAGUGGAACAGCAGUCUCCACAGAAUGCUGUCAUUUCCCUCAGUUAUUUACAGAAUAAUUUACAGAACAGCAGUGUUUGACCCAUCAUUCUGACUGGAGGAGCUGCUCCUAUUCAAGCACCACAGCUGUGUGCAGCACAAGAUCUUCAGAAAAAGUAAAGGUGCCCAUCAUGAAGAAGAGCCUAAUAUGCUAAAGGCCUGUCUGUUGAUCUGUGCAAAUGUGCAUUCUAGAUUUUAACAUCUCUCAGUAAAGAAAGACACACCUGCCACUGACAUUUGAUGGGUUUUGCCCCUGACUUGAAAGGGAUCAGGAUCAGGCUAAAAACUGAUGAUGGUAUUUCAUAACAUCUAUUCAUUUCUACUUGCCCUUUCAAUGUGUUUCAAUGUGUGAAACAGUGUCCAUCUUUCUCACUUGUCAUUCCUAUGUUUUUUUUUUUUCAUUGGUUGUUGGAUUUAGUGCUUAUUAUUUCCCAUGUAGAAGACUAUGAACACUACAAAGACAAAAAGAGCAAUUUGUUUUAGAGUCAGGGGAGAGGAAAAUUCUGUGCUCUUUGUCACAUGAAACUUUAGGAGCCUGAAGCUAAAUACUGCAGUACUAUUUGUGGUUCUCUGGAUAGUUAGUGGCCUUUAUAAAUGCAAAAAUCCCACUUAGACAUUCAAAUAACUGAUUUGCCAUUUUCUGUGCCCUUCUUCCCUCCAGCAGUCUGUAACCUGGUAUUUGUCUUCCAGGUCUUGUGUCUUACAGCUUGAAAUUCAAAAGAACUUGACAUUCAAUUUACAAUUGCAUCUCAGUUGGGAUUGAGACUAUUUGGGCUACUUUAGAGGAGUCUUAAAAACAAGAAUAAUUUGAGUCAAUGUCUUACUGUCUAGAACCACGAGUUUCAUAAAAAGGAAGAUGUACAGUUUACAGUAAGGAAUUUCUAUACUACUGUUUAUUUUAAAAUUUAUACUGGUAAUGCAGGAUUUGAAAUGGAUCAUCAGAAACAGAGUGCUCUCUUAGAAUAUCCAGUUUUUAGUAACUCCUAAAUUUCUUCUCAAAUUUGAAAAGACCCUAGGGAAAAAUAAACUGCUUGUCACUUGUUCAUUACUGUGCCAGUAUGUUACUAUUGCUAAGACAGUAUCACAUGGCCUGACUAAAAUUUAGGUCUCAGUACUCAACACACAAAAGAAUGGUAAGUGGAGCCCUCAACAGUUCUCUAUAUCUGCAGAUAAGGCAGAUGAGAGAGAAAAAAAUGAAGAUCAAAGAAUGAAAAAUAACUUGUACAAAGCCAUACUGCAGAUCAAUACCAACUGAGGGGUGAGACUGAAGCUAAAAAACAAUCCCCUAAACAUUUCCUACUGACUUCCCCUCAAACAGUCUCAGCCUGGACUCCUGACCCUUGACUAGAUGCCCUUUUUGUUAGAUCAAUGGCAUCCUCAGGCUAGAUUUUAGUCUCUAACUGUAAUCACCUAAUGUUAUUAAAGGCUGAGAUAACUGAACCCAUGCGCUCUGGAUACUAAUAAACUGACUCUUUUUAAUAUUCCUAUCUCUUUCUUUUGAAAAACAUUGUAAUUUUAAAGUUUAUAUCAGGGCUUUUCAAAAGCUUAAAUGUACACAUACACCUAUUAAUACACAUUAAUAUUAAUGUAUAAUAAUAUAUAAUACAUAUAUUGACAUACAUCUUUAUCCAGCCGUGCAUUCAUUUCUGGGUGUGAGCAUGUAUGGGGCAGUGUGCACUCCAUAAGCAUUCAGGGGUUUAGUGUGUGCUAGUGCCACACAGACUUCAGCCACCAUCAGUGGAAGCACCACCUUUUGACCAUUUAAAAUUCUAGAAACAAACAGAAGAUUGUAGUGCCAUUUUCACUGGGUAUCUACAACUAUCACACUCCAGAAUAGCUUCUUUUUUAGUCUUCUAUCACUUGUGGGGGCAUUUCUGGCCUCAGUCCAGAGGCUGUGUGAGAGAUACUUUCACAUGACUGGUGCAUGAUCUUUAAAUGGCAAAAUAUGUAAAAUCUC